UACAGAGGGUGCAAGCGUUGCUCGGAAUUAUUGGGCGUAAAGGGUAGGUAGGUGGUCUGAUCUGUCUGUGGGUGAAAUCCCGGGGCUUAACUCCGGAAGUGCUCCAGAAACGGUCAGACUAGGAGUACUGGAGAGGUGAGCGGAAUUCCCGGUGUAGCGGUGAAAUGCGUAGAGAUCCGGAGGAACACCAGAGGCGAAGGCGGCCUACUGGGCUGCACCUGACGCUGAGCCGCGAAAGCCAGGGGAGCGAACGGG
rnacentral:rRNA from 1 species